rnacentral:rRNA from 1 species
UAACAGCUCAAAUUUGAAAUCUGGCUCCCGCGGGAGUCCGAGUUGUAAUUUGUAGAAGAUGCUUUGGGUGCGUGGCCCGGCCUAAGUUCCUUGGAACAGGACGUCGUAGAGGGUGAGAAUCCCGUAUGCGGCCGGGGCGCCUGCCCGUGUAAAGCUCUUUCGACGAGUCGAGUUGUUUGGGAAUGCAGCUCAAAAUGGGUGGUAAAUUUCAUCUAAAGCUAAAUAUGGGCCAGAGACCGAUAGCGCACAAGUAGAGUGAUCGAAAGAUGAAAAGCACUUUGGAAAGAGAGUUAAACAGUACGUGAAAUUGUUGAAAGGGAAGCGCUUGCAACCAGACUUGGGCGUCGCUGAUCAUCCAAAGUUUUCUUUGGUGCACUCGGCGAGGCACAGGCCAGCAUCGGUUGGGGUGGUGGGAGAAAGGUCGUGGGAACGUAGCUCCUUUCGGGGAGUGUUAUAGCCUGCGGCGCAAUACCACCUACUCCGACCGAGGACCGCGCUUCGGCUAGGAUGCUGGCGUAAUGGUUGUAAGCGACCCGUCUUGAAACACGGACCAAGGAGUCUAACAUCUAUGCGAGUGUUUGGGUGCAAAACCCAUACGCGUAAUGAAAGUGAACGUAGGUGAGAACCCUUCGAGGGGGCAUCAU